GAAGGUGUAGCUCAGAGGUAGAGCGUGUGCUUAGUAUACACGAGUUCAAUCCCCAGUACCUUCA
rnacentral:tRNA from 1 species